rnacentral:rRNA from 1 species
AACCGAGUGAGCUAUUUCAGCCGUCUAACGGACGUUCCCUUCUAUGUAGCAAAAUAGUGGGAAGACUUAAAAAUAGCGGUGAAACGCCUACCGAACUCGGAGAUAGCUGGCUACCCGAAAUAGAAUCUAAGUUCUACUUUAGAACGAACAUUUAACUAAUUAACCAUCUAAAGUUAAUCAAUAGAGGUACAGCUCUAUUGACCAGGAUACAACCUGAAUUUGCAAGAAAACCACAUAUUCCUUAAUCAGUAGGCCCUUAAGCAGCCACCCUAAAAAAUAUCGUCAAAGAAUUGACCUAAAUAAUUCCAACACCAAUCAAAAACUUCAAAUUAACUCAGGGUGAACCUACACAAGUAGACAUCAUUAUGCUAAAACUAAUAAUAAGAACCCAUCUCUUUUACGCACCCCUUCACUAGAAAUAGAAAAACUACUAGCAAUUAACAGACCACAAAAGGGACAAACAAACCUAUACACACCCUCAAACCAACUGUAGACCCAACACAGGAGCGUUAAAAAGAAAGAUUAACCGUUAUAAAAGGAACUCGGCAACCAAGGGCUCCAACUGUUUAACAAAAACAUAACCUUUAGCUAAAACAAGUAUUAAAGGCGACGCCUGCCCAGUGAAUAUUAAACGGCCGCGGUACCCUAACCGUGCAAAGGUAGCAUAAUCAUUUGUCUAUUAAUUGUAGACCUGUAUGAAAGGCAAAAUGAGAGCCCAACUGUCUCUUAUAACAAAUCAAUAAAACUGAUCUUCUAGUACAAAAGCUAAAAUAUUAACAUAAGACCAGAAGACCCUGUGAAGCUUUAACAAACCCAUUAAAUCUAAUAAUGAUUACUUUCGGUUGGGGCGACCUUGGAAUAAAAAAGAACUUCCAACAUAUGACUACUCAUAAAAAGAGGCAAACAAGCCUACAUUAGACCCAGCACAGCUGAUAAUUGAAAUAAGUUACUCCAGGGAUAACAGCGCUAUCUUCUUUAAGAGCCCAUAUCAAAAAGAAGGUUUACGACCUCGAUGUUGGAUCAGGACAUCCCAGUAAUGCAUCCGUUACUAAAGGUUCGUUUGUUCAACGAUUAACAGUCCUACGUGA